AACGUCGGCCUCAUUAUCUAAAACAUCUAAUAAGCGUCGGCCAGGCAUAGGCCGAUAUAAUUCGGUCAGUGCUCUGUUUCUCAGCUCAUCAAGCGUCGGCUCUGAGUCGGCUCACGACCGGAGGCCAAUGCCGCGCUUUUCUGUUUGCGCGAGCCCAGUUAUUCAUCUCUUAUAUAGCAACCUACAGAGAGAAGAGACUCAUCCCGCGACAUCUGGGGCUUUCAGGCUAACGUUACCAGAAAGAAUCCGUUUCUACGAUGUUUAUUUGUGUAAAUGCUGUGUGUGCG